rnacentral:rRNA from 1 species
GACGAACGCUGGCGGCGUGCUUAACACAUGCAAGUCGAACGGAAAGGCCCUGCUUUUGUGGGGUGCUCGAGUGGCGAACGGGUGAGUAACACGUGAGUAACCUGCCCUUGACUUUGGGAUAACUUCAGGAAACUGGGGCUAAUACCGGAUAGGAGCUCCUGCUGCAUGGUGGGGGUUGGAAAGCUUCGGCGGUUGGGGAUGGACUCGCGGCUUAUCAGCUUGUUGGUGGGGUAGUGGCUUACCAAGGCUUUGACGGGUAGCCGGCCUGAGAGGGUGACCGGCCACAUUGGGACUGAGAUACGGCCCAGACUCCUACGGGAGGCAGCAGUGGGGAAUAUUGCACAAUGGGCGGAAGCCUGAUGCAGCAACGCCGCGUGCGGGAUGACGGCCUUCGGGUUGUAAACCGCUUUCGCCCGUGACGAAGCGUGAGUGACGGUAAUGGGUAAAGAAGCACCGGCUAACUACGUG